GUACCUGUGCUGAGUGUCGAAUGUGGGUCCCUCUGUCAGGUUUCAGAGUGAGUACCUGUGCUGAGUGUCGAAUGUGGGUCCCUCUGUCAGGUUUCAGAGUGAGUACCUGUGCUGAGUGUCGAAUGUGGGUCCCUCUGUCAGGUUUCAGAGUGAGUACCUGUGCUGAGUGUCGA